GCAGCUUGCAGACCAAAGGUUUUACUCCACAUACAGAAAUGGGGAAUGAAAAUACUCAUGUUGCUAAUGCUUGUAAGGAUGAGCUCUAUGUCUUCUUUGAAUCAAGAAAGCUGCAUAUCCAAGAAAUAGCGGUAGAUGCAACGAUAAACGGUGGUGUUAGCGUGAAGCACCGGGUGGAAUCACACCUAGAUAUGGGAGUUUCCGUGUCGGUGCUUUUAAAACCAGAUCUCAGGGUUCAGUUUCUGCGGUGCCCUUCCAGGAAAUAUAUCAAGAUUGCUGCACAAGGGGAUUUAUAUAUAACAAUCAUAGCCAAACGUGGAUCUAAGGAUGAAUUGAUAACAUUCAAUUUCUUUGUCCCGAGUGACCGUUCCAUUAUCGUUAUUGAAAAUGGAAUGAUCAAGUUUGCAGAAUACGGGUCACUUUGGAAGGAUGAAGACGGAAAUUACUACUGAUGCCAAAAAAACUGUGAUCCACUGCAUCAGACAACUGUGCUGUUUAUACCACGACUGAAGACUGGGAUGACCUUCAGUCUAUUCUUUAGAUACAACCUUUUUAACGUAUUACACACCUAAACAAAUAAAAUAAAAUGUUUAUA